GACGUAGGGCGCGAGCGUUUGUCCGGAUUUAUUGGGCGUAAAGAGCUCGUAGGCGGCUUGUUGCGUCAGCUGUGAAAACCCGCAGCUCAACUGUGGGCUUGCAGCUGAUACGGGCAGGCUUGAGUUCGGUAGGGGAGACUGGAAUUCCUGGUGUAGCGGUGAAAUGCGUAGAUAUCUGGAGGAACACCGGUGGCGAAGGCGGCAUCCUGGACCGGCAUUGACGCUGAGGCGCGAAAAGCCAGGGGGAGCAAACGGGG
rnacentral:rRNA from 1 species